UCGAGAAUCUUCCGCAAUGCGCGCAAGCGUGACGGAGCGACGCCGCGUGGGUGAUGAAGGCCUUCGGGUUGUAAAGCCCUGUCAGUUGCUAGGAAUGGCAGGUGGUGAACAACUAUCCUGUUUGACCAUGCGACAAAGGAAGCACCGGCUAAAUACGUGCCAGCAGCCGCGGUAAUACGUAUGGUGCAAACGUUGUUCGGAAUCACUGGGCCUAAAGAGCGCGUAGGCGGUUUGGUAAGUCAGGUGUGAAAUCCCUCGGCUCAACCGAGGAACUGCACCUGAUACUGCUUGACUAGAGUGCAGGAGGGGAGAGUGGAAUUCCUGGUGGAGCGGUGAAAUGCGUAGAUAUCAGGAGGAACGCCGGUGGCGAAAGCGAUUCUCUGGCCUGCCACUGACGCUGAGGCGCGAAAGCUAGGGGAGCAAACGGGAUUAGAUACCCCCGUAGUCC
rnacentral:rRNA from 1 species